rnacentral:lncRNA from 7 species
UACAGCUACAAAUUGUGGAGCCAGCUUCUAUCAAGCUCAUCCUUCAAACCAGCAGAACCUAUCCCUGUGGAGUUCUCAUAUUCCUGAAAUCUAGGCAGAAGCCAGCUCACGUCCUACUUAAGUUUAUUGGCUGCAGCUGGUGCACCACACCAGUCUUCUAUCAAGCCCCAAAUGAAGUAUGUAAGGAUAAGCCAGGGAGAACUUCAUUCUUUUUAUGUUCAGAGACAAUCCAUAUUGAAAGGAAUGGGAGGAAAGAAAUGUCUGUCAGCACUUUCAGAAGGGGAACUGGCCUCUCUAGUAUUGGAAGUAACAUAAGGAGAAGCAGGACACAACAAUGCUGUAUAGCAGAUACCAUGGAUUUGCCAUAAUUUUCUGUUUUGGCCAUCAUAAUGAUGAACCUCAAGGACCAUUCAUAUGGGUCAUUUCACCUGUACAACAGUUUCCAGGCCAUUAAAGGGCACGUAGUUCUGUCUGUGCCCUGCAAAUGGCAGUUCACCGUCAGCCACAAAGUCUGCAAAUCGGACUUUGUGAGCAGAGUUUAUUUUUUCUUUGAAACUAUCAAUCAAGGAGACUGCAGCAGACAUAUGGAGCUCUUUAUGAUAUGCCUUGUGCAGAAGUGGGAUUAUAAAAGAGUUAAAAACAUUGCCUUUAAUUUCUCUGACUACUCCACUGACAAUGAAGUGAAGUAGAUCAGGCUAGACUGGAGGAACUUUUAUACUGGAAGAGGAUCACUCUGCUGAGGUUAUGGGAGGCACAAAAGAAACAUACAGAAACCAAAAUGCACUGAAUCAUGCUGGUCAAUUAAAGGGCACAGCAUUGCCACCCAAAUGGAGGGGAGCAGGAAUCCACAAUACAGUCAGCUCCAACCACAUCCAAACAUGCGUAUUUCACAAUGAAAGCGUCUGUAGUGAUCUGUAGUGAAUCUGGAGCCACCCACAUGUUGGGUAUUUUGUUUGUUUUAAACUGACACGCUGCUUUCCAGGACUGAUAAAUGAAUGGAAGAUGGAAGUGAAAGGGAGUAAAUAAAUCUCACACGGAGAAAUAAAUACAUUUUCCCUCUUCACAGCAUCAGCCAAACCCUGUGGGAAGUAGGAUGUGUGUCAUUUUAUCAUCUCACAAACUGAUGAAGUUGACAUUAAUUGGAAGAAUAAACUAACUU